rnacentral:misc_RNA from 1 species
GAUGAAGAACGCAGUGAAAUGCGAUAAGUAAUGUGAAUUGCAGAAUUCAGUGAAUCAUCGAAUCUUUGAACGCACAUUGCGCCCGCCAGUAUUCUGGCGGGCAUGCCUGUUCGAGCGUCAUUUCAAGCAUCAAGCCCCCGGCUUGUGUUGGGGACCUGCGGCUGCCGCAGGCCCUGAAAACCAGUGGCGGGCUCGCUGUCACACCGAGCGUAGUAGAUUUUCAUCUCGCUCAGGGCGUGCUGCGGGUUCCGGCCGUAAAAAGCCUUAUUUACCCAAGGUUGACCUCGGAUCAGGUAGGAAGACCCGCUGAACUUAAGCAUAUCAAUAAGCGGAGA